rnacentral:lncRNA from 1 species
GGGGACUGCCGCGGCGCGGGGGCAACUUCGCCCCACCUCUCGGGCGGACUCCGGAGAACCAUUUCUGGGACCGGGAGCUGUCCAGCACCUCGGGUCCUGACGGACCGCUGAUUCGCCUAGGUGCCAUCGGACAAGCGGGCGCUCAGAGCCAGCCCUGGUGGCUCGGGAGCUUUCCCCCAUCCAGGCUAAGACCACUAAACCACGCCUGGCCCGGAUGAGCUUGAAUGCAGCUCCGGACGUGGGGAUCCAUCGGUGCUGAGAAGUGACCUAGGGAGCACCUUGACCCCUGCCCUAGAUAGGGCAUAAUUGAAGGGCCAAGUGCCACCAGACCACUCUCCUGGAACCCUGUCUCAGACUUGGGCAGGAAGAGUCAUGAGAGAGUCUCACUCUGUCGCCCAGAUUGGAGUGCAGUGGCGCCGUCUCAGCUCACUGCAACCUCUGCCUCUUGGGUUGAAGUGAUUCUCCUGCCUUAGCCUCCUGAGUAGCUAGGAUUACAGCUGCGCACCUCCACGCCCGGCUAAUUUUUUGUAUUUCACUAGAGACGGGUUUCACCAUGUUGGCCAGGCUGGUCUCGAACUCCUGACCUCAAAUAAUCCACUCGCUUCAGAAGCAUCCCAAAGUGCUGGGAUUACAGGCAUGAGCCACUGUGCCUGGUUGGGAAUACAUUUAAUAUAGUGGUGAGAAACACUGGUUUGGACGUCGGACAAGUCAACAUUUAAAUCCCGACUCUGCCACUUACUACUCAGGUGACCUUGGAUGAGUUACUUGAACUGAGUCUCCGUUUCUUCAUCUAUUAAAUGGGGGUACUAUGAAUUACCUCAUAGAGCGUUGGUGAGGAUUUAAAGUGAUAAAUCAUGUAAAGUGGUUAGCAGGGUGUACAGCUUAUGGUAAAACUCAGUAAAUGUUAGUAGUUAUUACUACACACAUACCUUACACUGUGUGAUCCUGCCUCCCCCAGGCUCCUUGACUUUGUUCUUCUGUUCAAUGUUUAUCUAAUGCCUACUAUUUCGCAGGUACUGUACAAUAGACAGUAAGUUAUCCAGGAGUGAGGAAGUUGACUUUCUUGCCUAUUUGUUCCUCAAACACCCUUCAUUUACCUCCUUCCUUCCUUCCAACUUAAGUUCACUCUCAUUUUACCCUCCCACUGGCUUCUGGUUCUUCCUGCAUUGUUCCCACUCCAUUUUUCCUUCUUUCACUGAUGUCUUAUCGCUUCACUUUGAUUCUUAUCCUCCUAAUACACAUAUACUUUUUUACCUGCUACAUUAUUCUUCAUAAUGUAGAAUUUGGGGCCAUCACAGUGAAAAAAAGAGCUGAAUUUUCAAACUAGGAAAGAGAAUUCUGUCAUGCUGUGUAUGUGUGUAUGUGUGUGUGUGUGUGUGUGUGUCUGAGGAACACACACAUUAAUUCACAUUCAACGGUAACGCUAUAGCUGACUUCCAAACUCCUACGUUUGAACUGUGUGCUUGUUUGCCUCUCUAUCCCCUCUAUUUAAGCUCUUGAAAUACAAGUCUAUUUCUUUGCCUGCCUACUUAUCUGCUCUGUCCCUGCCUCUCUCUCUUUGGAAUUUGUUGUUUUAAACAGCUUUAUUGAGAUAUAACUGAUAUACAAAGAACUACAUGUAUUUAAUAUGUAUGAUUUGAUGAAUUUGGAUGUCUUUGUUAUAUUCUGAAUGGGAAUGCUUACUGGUUGUUAGUAUGAGAAGCUGAUUUAUGAUAAUGUAUUUUUGUGUUUGCUUAACUGGCCUCCUACCUAUCACCAUACUGGUAAUGGGUUCAGGAUAUACUACACCAAAAUGUGGCAACUUGACAUUUGAGAAAACAGCAGAAGCAGGAAGGUCAUUCUCACCUGUCCCUCUCCCUUCUUACGGGAAGUGGGCCAUAAAACCUCUGACCGUCUUCCUCCUUUUCUCCUGAGGUACACCAUAAAACCCUAAUUCCAGGGUUUCCUAAAUCCAAAAAAAAAAAAAA